GACGAACCGAGCGAACGUUGUUCGGAAUCACUGGGCUUAAAGGGCGCGUAGGCGGGUGCUCAAGUCCGUGGUGAAAUCCUCCGGCUCAACCGGAGAACUGCCUCGGAUACUGGGUGCCUCGAGGGUGGUAGGGGUAUGCGGAACUAUCGGUGGAGCGGUGAAAUGCGUUGAUAUCGAUAGGAACUCCGGUGGCGAAGGCGGCAUACUGGACCACCUCUGACACUGAGGCGCGAAAGCCAGGGGAGCAAACGGG
rnacentral:rRNA from 1 species